GAAGACCAGCAAGGAGGCGGGGGCGGCCUCCUCGGCGGCGGCCUUUUGUAGCAACGAGGUCGGGCGGGGCUGAACAGGCUCAGCCCCGCCGCUUACCACCGAGAGCGAAAGUCUAUGCGGAGAGGGAGGACGAAGUGACAGACGAAGCACAGAAAGGGCAAGACCAGCGGGAAGAGGAAGCC
rnacentral:misc_RNA from 1 species